rnacentral:rRNA from 1 species
GACGAACGCUGGCGGCGUGCCUAAUACAUGCAAGUAGAACGCUGAAGGAGGAGCUUGCUUCUCUGGAUGAGUUGCGAACGGGUGAGUAACGCGUAGGUAACCUGCCUGGUAGCGGGGGAUAACUAUUGGAAACGAUAGCUAAUACCGCAUAAGAGUAGAUGUUGCAUGACAUUUGCUUAAAAGGUGCAAUUGCAUCACUACCAGAUGGACCUGCGUUGUAUUAGCUAGUUGGUGGGGUAACGGCUCACCAAGGCGACGAUACAUAGCCGACCUGAGAGGGUGAUCGGGCACACCGGGAACUGGGCCCCGCUCCGACUUCCUCGGGAGGCAGCAGGAGGGGAACUUCGGCAAUUGACGGAAGGCUGACCGAGCAACGCCGCGGUAGUGAAGGAGGUUCUCGGAUCGGAAAGCUCCGUUGUAAGAGAAGAACGAGUGUUAGAGUGGAAAGUUCACGCUGUGACGGUAUCUUACCAGAAAGGGACGGCUAACUACGUG